GUCAGGAUGGCCGAGCGGUCUAAGGCGCUGCGUUAAGGUCGCAGUCUCCCCUGGAGGCGUGGGUUCCAAUCCCACUUCUGACA
rnacentral:tRNA from 1 species